rnacentral:rRNA from 1 species
AUGGCUCAGGAUGAACGCUGGCGGCGUGCCUAACACAUGCAAGUCGAGCGGAGACCUGUGAAGUAGUAAUACGGAACAGAUCUUAGCGGCGGACGGGUGAGUAACACGUGAGUAAUCUGCCUUCUGCAGGGGAAUAACAUUGUGAAAACAGUGCUAAUACCGCAUAACAUCCGACUGGGGCAUCCCGGACGGAUCAAAGGAGCAAUCCGGCAGAAGAUGAGCUCGCGUCCGAUUAGCUAGUUGGUGAGGUAGUGGCUCACCAAGGCGACGAUCGGUAGCCGAACUGAGAGGUUGAUCGGCCACAUUGGGACUGAGACACGGCCCGGACUCCUACGGGAGGCAGCAGUGGGGAAUAUUGGGCAAUGGGCGCAAGCCUGACCCAGCAACGCCGCGUGAAGGACGAAGGCCUUCGGGUUGUAAACUUCUUUGAUCAGGGACGAAACAAAUGACGGUACCUGAGGAACAAGCCACGGCUAACUACGUGCCAGCCGCUGC